rnacentral:rRNA from 1 species
UACAGAGGUCUCAAGCGUUGUUCGGAUUCAUUGGGCGUAAAGGGUGCGUAGGUGGCGCCGUAAGUCAGGUGUGAAAUUUCGGAGCUUAACUCCGAAACUGCAUUUGAUACUGCGGUGCUUGAGGACUGGAGAGGAGACUGGAAUUCACGGUGUAGCAGUGAAAUGCGUAGAUAUCGUGUGGAAGACCAGUGGCGAAGGCGGGUCUCUGGACAGUUCCUGACACUGAGGCACGAAGGCCAGGGGAGCAAACGGG